rnacentral:rRNA from 1 species
GAUGAACGCUGGCGGCGUGCCUAAUACAUGCAAGUCGAACGCUGAAGGAGGAGCUUGCUCUUCUGGAUGAGUUGCGAACGGGUGAGUAACGCGUAGGUAACCUGCCUGGUAGCGGGGGAUAACUAUUGGAAACGAUAGCUAAUACCGCAUGACAACAGUUAUUGCAUGAUAACUGUUUAAAAGGGGCAACUGCUCCACUACCAGAUGGACCUGCGUUGUAUUAGCUAGUUGGUGAGGUAACGGCUCACCAAGGCGACGAUACAUAGCCGACCUGAGAGGGUGAUCGGCCACACUGGGACUGAGACACGGCCCAGACGCCUACGGGAGGCAGCAGUAGGGAAUCUUCGGCAAUGGACGGAAGUCUGACCGAGCAACGCCGCGGGAGUGAAGAAGGUUGUCGGAUCGUAAAGCUCUGUUGUAAGAGAAGAACGAGUGUGAGAGUGGAAAGUUCACACUGUGACGGUAUCUUACCAGAAAGGGACGGCUAACUACGUG